rnacentral:rRNA from 1 species
UGGGGAAUUUUGCGCAAUGGGGGAAACCCUGACGCAGCAACGCCGCGUGAGUGAUGAAGGCUUUCGGGUCGUAAAGCUCUGUCAGAGGGGAAGAAAUGGAAACGGUUAAUACCCGUUUUCCUUGACGGUACCCUCAAAGGAAGCACCGGCUAACUCCGUGCCAGCAGCCGCGGUAAUACGGAGGGUGCAAGCGUUGUUCGGAUUUAUUGGGCGUAAAGCGCGUGUAGGCGGUCUUUUAAGUCUGAUGUGAAAGCCCUGGGCUCAACCCAGGAAGUGCAUUGGAUACUGGAAGACUUGAAUACGGGAGAGGGUAGUGGAAUUCCUAGUGUAGGAGUGAAAUCCGUAGAUAUUAGGAGGAACACCGGUGGCGAAGGCGGCUACCUGGACCGAUAUUGACGCUGAGACGCGAAAGCGUGGGGAGCAAACA